rnacentral:rRNA from 1 species
UACGUAGGGUCCGAGCGUUGUCCGGAAUUACUGGGCGUAAAGCGUGCGCAGGCGGCUUUCCAAGCGCCACGUGAAAGCCCCGGGCUCAACCCGGGAGGGUCGUGGCGAACUGGGAGGCUUGAGGCCGGUAGAGGUGGGUGGAACUCCUGGUGGAGUGGUGAAAUGCGCAGAUAUCGGGAGGAACACCAAUGGCGAAGGCAGCUCGCUGGGACGUGACUGACGCUGAGACGCGAAAGCGUGGGGAGCAAACAGG